rnacentral:rRNA from 1 species
GGAAUAUUGGACAAUGGGGGCAACCCUGAUCCAGCGAUGCCGCGUGUGUGAAGAAGGCCUGCGGGUUGUAAAGCACUUUCAGUGGGGAGGAGGUUUUAGAGGUUAAGAGCCACUAGGAUGGACGUUACCCACAGAAGAAGCACCGGCUAACUCCGUGCCAGCAGCCGCGGUAGUACGGAGGGUGCAAGCGUUAAUCGGAAUUACUGGGCGUAAAGGGUGUGUAGACGGUUUGAUAAGUUAAGUGUGAAAGACCUGGGCUUAACCUGGGGUUGUCACUUAAGACUGUUAGACUAGAGUAUGGGAGAGGGUAGUGGAAUUUCCGGUGUAGCGGUGAAAUGCGUAGAGAUCGGAAGGAACACCAGUGGCGAAGGCGGCUACCUGGCCCAAUACUGACGUUGAGGCACGAAAGCGUGGGGAGCAAAC